AACCCUAGCCGCCACUCGCCCACUCCGCAUCGCGCCCGCCCCCCUUCUUCGUUCCUUGCAACCGCUUCCACGGUCCCGUCCUCUCUCCUGCCACCUAGCUUGACACUGCUGCUCUCCCGGCCGAGCUCGCUCGCCGCCGCCGCCGCCGCUGCCGCAGCAUCAUCUUCUCCUCCUCGCGAACACCACAUGCCUUCUCCUCUUCUCCUCCUCUGCCCAAUCGUGUGCCGGCAAGAUCCAGCCGUGGUGGCCGAGAUUCAGCUCGCCCUUCCCGAGCCCGACGAGAAGGGGGUGCAAGGCCAUCCCUGCGCGCGCCCCGAGCGAGGGCCUGACGGAGCUCGGCGUCUCGGCGGACCACGACCUUAGCUCCGAGGACGCGGCGGCGCGGCUGCAAAGGUACGGGCCAGCGAGCUGGAGCGGCAUGCGCCGCCGCCUAUGGAUGCUGGUGCUCGAGCACUUCUGCUCUCCAUUGCUGAGGUCGCGAAGCCGCUGCGCUCCUCUUCCUCUCUAGCCACCUCCCGUUGCCCCACCGCACGAGGUAGACGGCCAGAGGUGAGCCACCGCCGAUCCACCCGCGCGAGGCGCCCAGCGGCUAUCUCCGGGACACGAUGUUGUGCGCAGACACGCCCGCGACUCCCAAGCUCAUGCGCCGUCACGCCCACCACCUCCGGCCCUGACCUAGAGUUCAGUGGACGAGCUCCAGGGCCGACCUCAUGCCGACCCGAGGUGAGCCGCAUCCCAUCCAUCACGUGAAAGCAAUGUCUGUUCAUUUGCAGGGGGGCUGGAUCCUGAGCAGCAGAGGUGCAACCCUGCAGUGCUGCUGGAUCCCAAAAAUAAAGGUGAUUUAAGGCAUGCUUUAGAACGAAGACGUGACAGCAGGGGGAGGGAGAGGGAGAUGGGGAAGCCCCUGUGCCGGCGUGACUGAUUCCCCAACGAGCUGGUGGCUCAUUACCUACGGAGGAUGGCCGAGGCGGGGUCGUUCGUCAACACGUCACCACCGAGCUGCUGCUGAGAUAAUACCGAUGGUCAGUCCAGAUGUGGAUGUCUCAUCUCUGAACAUUAGAAAUGCUGAGAAGUCCAUAGAGCCACAACCAUGCAAGGAAAUCUUAGCAUCCAGCUGGUCGAUCGCUUGCUUGAUCUGUGCAUGGACAUCAUCUCCCUGCCACAACUUCGUGAAUAGAUCUGCAGGUCGACCACUCUUCUCCUCCUCAUUACUCCUCUUUUUUUCCCUAGGUUGGUGUUUGUACAUCGUGGUGCUUUUCUUCCCACUUGAUACAAGAACGGUCGUAUAAUUUUCUUUGUCAUGGUGGUCUUUUGUGCUGGUGUGCAGGUUUUCUGGUGUUAGUGUGUGUUGUUUUCAGUGUAGUAUAGGCCUAUAGGUAUAUGCUUUUUGUUUCUUUUCUUCUUUCUGGUAGAUCCUACGUCUAUUGUUCCUUUUGUGCAUGGAUUUUUUGUGUUUUUGUUCUCUCCCCACUUGAUGUAUUUAUAUUUAUCGAAUGAAAAAGCACCUUGCUUGCUUUUGUAGCUACAAAAACUCUCUAUUUGUUUUAAUAUACAUUUGCAUAUAUUGUUUAAAUGAAGCAUUAAGAGUUGUUUGAGGUAUCAAUUGCUGAGGUCCUAUUUACAUUUAUAUUGUUUGGAUCGAUAUUUAAUGGUGCAUUUCAAAAUUGCAUAUGUAGGAGAGGCUCACACUGAGGGAGGGCUAAAUUGUGGGUGAUGCUAUCCCACUAGGAUUGUGUCAUCACCACCUACAUAAUUAGUCCCAGGAAAAAUAUAAAGCAUACCAAGGUAUUUGUUGUCCAGGCAUAUGUCGCUUCCAAGCCCGUCUCGGCCCGAUCCCACAGUACUUCUUCCCUUCAUUGUGCCAUCUGCUCUAGGGGAACCGAGGCACUUUGCCGCCGCCGGCUGCACGCUCGACUGGUGAUCGUGUCUUUUGUCAAAGGCCUGAAUGGUUCGGUGGGAAAAUUGUUUUAAUCAUGAGACGCCGAUGAUUGAUGGAGCAGGACCUAACCAAGCUUGAUGUUACCAAGCUACACCCGUUGUCACCUGAAGUUAUCUCACGCCAAGCGAGGAUCAAUACCGUUUUGCUGGUACGAGGAGACAUGGUCGGAAGCAAUGGCGAAGCACACCAGUAGUAUCCCCCCCUGCAGUUUGGGAGAAAGAACGCAAAGAAGACCACCAGAGAAACGGUCGUCCCAGACCCAGACUGUCGACUACCGAUCGAUAUACCCGUUUCGCUCUUCCUAGGAUGGCCUGGAUGGCCCGAGCUGGGCAGCCUUUGAUACGCCGUGUUAGGCGCCUAGGUGUUGCCUUCUUGAUAAAUUCGGCUGCCACCGACCGGCACGAGCUCGCUUCGGCCCCUCCUCUUCCCCCUAACGGCCUCCUCCUCUGAUCUUGCAGCUACUGCCUCAUCGAUAACCUACAACAAAAAAGGUUCGUGUUAGGCGGUCCUUCUGAAGUACAUCGACAAGGCAGAUGGAUUAUGCCACUUAUUAGUAUGCUUAGUGAUUAUGGCUCCGUAGUUGGCUCUAUUUAUUAUGUUCAUGUUCUUAUUACCUCCUUUUGUGUGUUCUCACUUUUGGUAUCGAACUUCAUGUCGAAUGGCUAUAUUUUGUUGUCGCAUGACCACGCCGAGAUGGAUCCUGCCUUAUAAAUGUUUGUUUACUUUAUUA